AUUGAACGCUGGCGGCAUGCCUUACACAUGCAAGUCGAACGGUAACGGGCCUUCGGGUGCCGACGAGUGGCGAACGGGUGAGUAAUGCAUCGGAACGUACCUUUCAGUGGGGGAUAACGUAGCGAAAGUUACGCUAAUACCGCAUAUUCUGUGAGCAGGAAAGCAGGGGAUCGCAAGACCUUGCGCUGAUUGAGCGGCCGAUGUCAGAUUAGCUAGUUGGUGAGGUAAAGGCUCACCAAGGCGACGAUCUGUAGCGGAUCUGAGAGGAUGAUCCGCCACACUGGAACUGAGACACGGUCCAGACUCCUACGGGAGGCAGCAGUGGGGAAUUUUGGACAAUGGGGGCAACCCUGAUCCAGCCAUGCCGCGUGAGUGAAGAAGGCCGUCGGGUUGUAAAGCUCUUUCGGCCGGGAAGAAAUCGUAUGGGUUAAUACCCUGUGUGGAUGACGGUACCGGAAUAAGAAGCACCGGCUAACUACGUGCCAGCCGCCACCGUAAGAC
rnacentral:rRNA from 1 species